CUAGGCUGAGAAGCUGGAAGAAGCAGAGCCAUCUUCUAGCAAGAUUAGUCUCGUCAGAAUGCCACCACCACAGCCGCAGUCCCUGCCAUGAGGGGAUCCCAGCCCUCCCUUUGUGUCUGUUAUACUCACUCAAGAGUCCAAAUUGUAGGAUGGGCUUCUGGUUGCCAGACUCUGGCCAAGUGCCUGGGCCCAGGCUGCCAGGGAUAGAGAGAGAAAGAGGAUCUCUCUGCUUUGUCACCUGUAGUCACAGACCAGGUCAUGUGACACUCCUGCUCCCAAACAGAAGGAGGGUUGAACAUCGCACAGUAAAAAUGACAAAUGUCCACUACCUUCUGUAACCCCAUGGAAGGGGACAAUUCGGUUAUAACAUUUGUAGUGACAGAAGCAAGGACUAGAAUUAGAAUUAAUGUAGAGGAGAGGAAUUAGUUAUUUCUCAGAGACUUGGGGGGAUGGUAUAAUGGUAGGCCUCAUGGCGGAAUAGCCCCUUAAAUAAAGUUUUGAAGGAUAAAUGGGUAAGAAUCAUCAAGGCAGACGAUAACAGGUCCAGACACAAGUGAGCGUGUAUGGAGGUAGAGAUGUGUGAAACAGCACUGAGUGAGAUUCAUUGGGAACACAACAAGGACGUGGGUCCAACAUGGCAGCUGCUCUCAGCGAGCACAGCUGAUUGGACUGAGAGAUGGAGAGGCCCUGAACAGCGUCAAGUAGAGUUCUAGGACUUAGUCGCCCCAAAGGAAGAUUGGAGUACGAGUAUAAAAGGCUUUCAAUUCCAGGUGUGUGACAGGCACUGGGCUAAGCUCUGGAAACACACCCAUGAACUGGCUAUGCCUUCAAGGAGCUUAAAAUGUUUCCAAUGGACUCACAAGUAGCAGCCCUGUCCUGGGAAUUGUUGAUGCAGCAGUAAACAAAACACCAUCCUGCUUUCAAUGAUGUCAGAAUAUAAUGCCAAAGUAACAAGAAAAUAAACCAUUGAAAUACA